UACGUAGGGGGCGAGCGUUGUCCGGAUUCAUUGGGCGUAAAGAGCUCGUAGGCGGUUUGUCGCGUCUGCCGUGAAAGUCCGGGGCUCAACUCCGGAUCUGCGGUGGGUACGGGCAGACUAGAGUGAUGUAGGGGAGACUGGAAUUCCUGGUGUAGCGGUGAAAUGCGCAGAUAUCAGGAGGAACACCAAUAGCGAAGGCAGCUCGCUGGGACGUUACUGACACUGAGACGCGAAAGCGUGGGGAGCAAACGGG
rnacentral:rRNA from 1 species